GUAAACAUUAAUGUUAAUUUUAUUGAUAUUACUGUUUUUCAAACAGAGAUUGAUGGAGAAAAAAAAAGUAUUAUAUUUUUAUGACAUUCCUGAAUUCUGACUAAUCUAAUGAGUCUAAUAAUCUAUUUCUGAUGUAUGGGGGUACUUGGGUCUUGAUGUAAACAAACAAGUCCAUCAAAUAUGUCAGAAUACCAGAUGUGUUCAUAAGGCCUUGCAGUGUAAAUGCAGCCUAAAUAAAGAGGUACUUUUAAUUUGACAUGUCUUGACAGGAACAGAUGUCAUCAUUAAAGACUUCUGGUCAUUUUUUCCCUGGAACACAAACUGAGAGGGCUGGGAAAAUGAUGAGCGACAGCUGUGAAUGGAGGUAGAGUCUGUUGCUCCUCGUGCAGAUUUGGCACUGGCUUUCCAAACACAUUUCUUCAGGUGUCUUCAAGCUGGUUUAAAUGAACGGUGAAGAGUUUUGAUAUUUAUUUUCACAUUCUGGUUUAGUUCACAAUGAAGUGCCAAAUAGACACUUGGAAUUUGGAGUUUAUAACUCUUUGGGAAAAAUAACUAUACCUUUUUCUUCCCUUAAGAGCGGGCGCAGCCAUUUGUACAUUUUGUGGGUCUGGCUUCCAGUCUCAUCCACUUCCUGCUACUUUUAACUGUAUAAAACAGCUUGUUUUGCUGCUUGGUAUUGAAAACUGAGGCUAAUAAAGCGGAAGUCUUGCCCAUAUGCUCACUUCCACAUUGAAGAAUAAGGGCCUCCUGCUGACAGACAGAUUCUUGAAUGGGUGAUGGUCAGAAUGAAGAGACACAGAUGUGGACAAUUAUCUUUGCACGCUGCACACAUCCCUCACCGAGAGUCUGAGGACAGGGGCUGAUGAUGAAGCCGUGGGAUUGCCCCCUGGAAAUGAUCACACCUGCGUGGAGGUAAUAAGAUGGUGGUUUGCUGAGAGCCGGUUUGAUUACCGAGCUCGGAGACGUGGAGUGUGAUUGGCAGUGGAAUGUAGACAGUGUGAUUAGGGGGGACGGAUCUUGGCUGUUACUUCUCAUGGAGCAAAGGUGUCGAGCGUGAAGAUGUUGGAAAUAUGUCGAAGCGUCAGUU
ensembl:lncRNA